AUGAAGCAUAAUAAGUGGCUUUAUGUUUUUUUGUGUUCUACAGGAGUUCAUCUCAUCCUGAUUGGGGGCAUUUGUCAGUUGGUAGCUGGAAUGCUUUCUUUUCGUAGAUAUGACCACUUGAGCGGCACUGCUUUUAUUGGCUAUGCUGCUUUAUGGUGCAGUUAUGGUGCCACCAGAAUCUACUAUGGCUCCACAUAUUCAAACCAAAGUUAUAUUUUGACAACCACAGAUACGAUGAACACAGGGUUACUCUUAGAUAAAUCCGCAAUCGCCGGACUGAUUCCCUACAUCUUCCUUUCUUUUCUCCUGGCGUUUUGUUCUGCAACUGUAAACUACAUCAUGCCUUUUGUCUUUGGCGCCAUCACGGGUACUUUAGUCUUCGAAGCAGCAGCCCUGGUAACAGACUCCUGGGCUCUCAUCGUCUCUGGUGUUUUGGAGCUGAUCAUUCUGAUCUUUGCCAUCUACGGCUCAGCUGCUCUGCUUGUUAAAGGUCUAACUCAGCGACACGUCCUCAAGGGGUUUGGCACCCCGCUCUUUAAUGUUCUCCUGCUAGGAACUGCCAACUCAGCAAGUGCACAGAGUAUUGGCCAAGAGAAGAAGAAGAACACAAAAUACGCCGAGCCCAUGGCUCUGGGCUUCUUCUGUGAUUCUGUUUCUCCGUUCAUCUUUGCUUUCUACAGCUUUGGGUACAUAAAAUCCUUCUUUUUGAGUGUCGCUUGGGUAUCAAUCAUCUCAGUUGCUCAGCUGUUCUCCAGUUACUACGCCCAUUUACGUCAGGAUUGCUACCAUGCAACCAAGUUUGGCUUUCAUGCUGCUUUCUGGUUGAUCAAGGCCUGGGAGGAGUUUGUGAUUUCUAGUCUUGUGGACGAUGGUGUUGUUGUUUCUGGAAGGGAAGCAAUGGUGGGAGACUGGUUCUUUGUGGUGGCAGGCUUAGGUCUUUGCAUGGGGAGCCUGAAUAUGGACGUCUUGGAGCUGAUCCACAACAUAUUCUUCGUCCUACUCACGGUUGCAGCAGUUCCCCAGAUUCCUCUGCAGGGUUAUUACAUCUUCUUUGGUGUAGCCUGCGCCCUUUUCACUGCCGCCUCCAUCUAUGGCACGUUCUCUCGUCUCAUUAACACCAUUGCAGAGAAGUCACUCAUCCCGGUAGGACCUCAACCAAUCUCUACUGAGCAACUACGAAAGGGUUUAGGGUGUGGGAGGUCUGUGCAGGGAGAGCAGACAGUUCUACCCUUCAAAGCCCAAACUACUGAUGCUCUGUUCUACAUUUCCAAUGGGGUUGCCUCACUGUCAGCGCUUCAUUCAAGAGUGUCAAGUACAAACCCCACUCUCCUUCAUCUCACUGUCCCCUGGGUCCUCAUCUCUGGGGCGAUCAUCCAAGCUUAUGUCAGCAGACUCCAAGUCACGGGGGGUGGCCGGUUCGGAUCGGUCAUCUCAUCCAUCUAUGUGGCCUUGUGGGCAACAUGGACCUGGUUUAGGUUUUCAGGUAUGUUUGGGUUUGUGAUUUGGAAUACUUGUUACACAAAUCUUACAGCUGAAGAAUGUACUGACUCCUGA
rnacentral:lncRNA from 1 species